rnacentral:rRNA from 1 species
GUGGGGAAUCUUGCGCAAUGGGCGAAAGCCUGACGCAGCCAUGCCGCGUGAAUGAUGAAGGUCUUAGGAUUGUAAAAUUCUUUCACCGGGGACGAUAAUGACGGUACCCGGAGAAGAAGCUCCGGCUAACUUCGUGCCAGCAGCCGCGGUAAUACGAAGGGGGCUAGCGUUGCUCGGAAUUACUGGGCGUAAAGGGCGCGUAGGCGGACAGCUUAGUCAGAGGUGAAAGCCCAGGGCUCAACCUUGGAAUUGCCUUUGAUACUGGCUGUCUUGAGUUUGGGAGAGGUGAGUGGAACUCCGAGUGUAGAGGUGAAAUUCGUAGAUAUUCGGAAGAACACCAGUGGCGAAGGCGACUCACUGGCACAAUACUGACGCUGAGGCGCGAAAGCGUGGGGAGCAAACAGGAUUAGAAACCCGAGUAGUCC